UAGUGAUAUAACUGGGGGACCAUGCUCACUGUGCCCUGAUAAUAGUGAUAUAACUGGGUGGACCAUGCUCACUGUGCUCUGAUAAUAGUGAUAUAACUGGGGGACCAUGCUCACUGUGCCCUGAUAAUAGUGAUAUAACUGGGGGACCAUGCUCACUGUGCCCUGAUAAUAGUGAUAUAACUGGGUGGACCAUGCUCACUGUGCUCUGAUAAUAGUGAUAUAACUGGGGGACCAUGCUCACUGUGCCCUGAUAAUAGUGAUAUAACUGGGGGACCAUGCUCACUGUGCUCUGAUAAUAGUGAUAUAACUGGGGGACAAUGCUCACUGUGCCCUGAUAAUAGUGAUAUAACUGGGGGACAAUGCUCAC